AUGAAGGAAAAAAAAACAAAAAAGGAUUAAAAUGACACUGUUCUAUUCGAUUAUUUCCCGCAAACAACAAAGUGUGCUUUCGAAAAAAGUGUUCUACAAAAUCUUCAAUCUCACUAACAUGUUCUACAAAAUCUUCAAUCUCCGGUGAUUUUGGCAGAUUUCUUCGAUCAUAAUCUUCAAUGGAACAUUGAAAGGGACCAGUUCUCCCUAUCAAUUCAUCUUCACUACAAAUUCAGUUUCUCGCAUUGACGUUUUUCAAGCCUUCGAAUUCAGUUUCUCCUUCGAAUUCAGUUUUUCAAGCCUUCGAAUUGACGUUUCUCGCAGAUUUUCUUAGCAAUUUCCAAAUUCGAUCGCAUCUUCAGGCAUAAAGAUGGUAGUUUUGAUGAAGAGGGUGAAGCAAAGUUCAACGAAAAGAAGAUCGAGGUCAUUAUGACUUCACUUGGGCUUUGAUCAGAACAUAUACUGGUGACUGAAGAUCACAGCUGCAGUAGAUUGUAGCAGUGGCAUGUGUGCACAAUCCUAAAUUUGGUGGACAAUCAUGAAGCUCGAUUGAUUAACUUUACAGGCCUUGCUAUUCUGCUUUUUGGCAUUAUAGUUGAUUUUUCUGUUGCUUUUGCUCGUCAUAUGUAAAAUAAUUGUUUCCUUUUGAUUCUUUUGAGUGUUCAUAUAUUAACAUAUAAAUUUUAAAGGUUGUGUAUACUUGUUAAAAUUUUAGUAAAUCAGUAUAAUAAUAUUUUUUCCCUUGGUAUUA